UACGAAGGGGGCUAGCGUUGUUCGGAAUCACUGGGCGUAAAGCGCACGUAGGCGGAUUCCUAAGUCGGGGGUGAAAUCCUGAGGCUCAACCUCAGAACUGCCUUCGAUACUGGGGAUCUUGAGUUCGGAAGAGGUUGGUGGAACAGCUAGUGUAGAGGUGAAAUUCGUAGAUAUUAGUUAGAACACCAGUGGCGAAGGCGGCCAACUGGUCCGACACUGACGCUGAGGUGCGAAAGCGUGGGGAG
rnacentral:rRNA from 1 species